rnacentral:rRNA from 1 species
GUGUCAGCAGCCGCGGUAAUACAGAGGGUGCAAGCGUUAAUCGGAAUUACUGGGCGUAAAGCGCGCGUAGGCGGCUGAUUAAGUCGGGUGUGAAAGCCCCGGGCUCAACCUGGGAACUGCAUUCGAUACUGAUCGGCUAGAGUAUGAAAGAGGGAGGUAGAAUUCCACGUGUAGCGGUGAAAUGCGUAGAUAUGUGGAGGAAUACCGGUGGCGAAGGCGGCCUCCUGGUUCAAUACUGACGCUGAGGUGCGAAAGCGUGGGGAGCAAACAGGAUUAGAAACCCGCGUAGUCC